rnacentral:rRNA from 1 species
AAAGAAACCAACAGGGAUUGCCCCAGUAACGGCGAGUGAAGCGGCAACAGCUCAAAUUUGAAAUCUGGCCUCGGCCCGAGUUGUAAUUUGCAGAGGAUGUUUCUGGCGCGGUGCCUUCUGAGUUCCCUGGAACGGGACGCCAUAGAGGGUGAGAGCCCCGUACGGUUGGACGCCUAGCCUGUGUGAAACUCCUUCGACGAGUCGAGUAGUUUGGGAAUGCUGCUCAAAAUGGGAGGUAUAUCUCUUCUAAAGCUAAAUACCGGCCAGAGACCGAUAGCGCACAAGUAGAGUGAUCGAAAGAUGAAAAGCACCUUGAAAAGGGGGUUAAACAGCACGUGAAAUUGUUGAAAGGGAAGCGCCCAUGACCAGACUUGUGCCCGGCGGAUCACCCAGCGUUCUCGCUGGGGCACUCCGCCGGGUCCAGGCCAGCAUCGGUUUUCGCCGGGGGAUAAAGGCUCUGGGAACGUAGCUCCUCCGGGAGUGUUAUAGCCCUCUGCGUAAUACCCUGGCGGGGACCGAGGUACGCGCUCCGCAAGGA